UGGGGAAUAUUGCACAAUGGGCGCAGGCCUGAUGCAGCCAUGCCGCGUGUAUGAAGAAGGCCUUCGGGUUGUAAAGUACUUUCAGCGAGGAGGAAGGCGUUGUGGUUAAUAACCGCAACGAUUGACGUUACUCGCAGAAGAAGCACCGGCUAACUCCGUGCCAGCAGCCGCGGUAAUACGGAGGGUGCAAGCGUUAAUCGGAAUUACUGGGCGUAAAGCGCACGCAGGCGGUCUGUCAAGUCGGAUGUGAAAUCCCCGGGCUCAACCUGGGAACUGCAUCCGAAACUGGCAGGCUAGAGUCUUGUAGAGGGGGGUAGAAUUCCAGGUGUAGCGGUGAAAUGCGUAGAGAUCUGGAGGAAUACCGGUGGCGAAGGCGGCCCCCUGGACAAAGACUGACGCUCAGGUGCGAAAGCGUGGGGAGCAAACA
rnacentral:rRNA from 1 species